rnacentral:rRNA from 1 species
CCUACGGGGGGCGGCAGUGAGGAAUAUUGGUCAAUGGACGCAAGUCUGAACCAGCCACGUCGCGUGAAGGAAGACGGCCCUACGGGUUGUAAACUUCUUUUGUAAGGGAAUAAAGUGCAGUACGCGUACUGUUUUGCAUGUACCUUACGAAUAAGGAUCGGCUAACUCCGUGCCAGCAGCCCCGGUC